rnacentral:rRNA from 1 species
UACGGGAGGGUGCAAGCGUUAUCCGGAUUCACUGGGGUUUAAAGGGUGCGUAGGUGGGUCUGUAAGUCAGUGGUGAAAUCUCCGGGCUUAACCCGGAAACUGCCAUUGAUACUAUAGGUCUUGAAUUUUCUGGAGGUUAGCGGAAUAUGUCAUGUAGCGGUGAAAUGCUUAGAUAUGACAUAGAACACCAAUUGCGAAGGCAGCUAACUACAGGGAUAUUGACACUGAGGCACGAAAGCGUGGGGAUCAAACAGG